UGGGGAAUAUUGGACAAUGGGCGAAAGCCUGAUCCAGCCAUGCCGCGUGUGUGAAGAAGGUCUUCGGAUUGUAAAGCACUUUAAGUUGGGAGGAAGGGCAGUAAGCGAAUACCUUGCUGUUUUGACGUUACCGACAGAAUAAGCACCGGCUAACUCUGUGCCAGCAGCCGCGGUAAUACAGAGGGUGCAAGCGUUAAUCGGAAUUACUGGGCGUAAAGCGCGCGUAGGUGGUUCGUUAAGUUGAAUGUGAAAGCCCCGGGCUCAACCUGGGAACUGCAUCCAAAACUGGCGAGCUAGAGUAGGGCAGAGGGUGGGGGAAUUUCCUGUGUAGAGGUGAAAUGCGUAGAUAUAGGAAGGAACACCAGUGGCGAAGGCGACCACCUGGGCUCAUACUGACACUGAGGUGCGAAAGCGUGGGGAGCAAACAGG
rnacentral:rRNA from 1 species